AAUCAAUAGUUUUUUAAUUGAAAGCUGGAAUGAAUGAUUGGAUGAGGUAAACACUGNCNNAAUUUUAAAAAAUUGAAUUUUAUUUUUAAGUUAAAAAGCUUAAAUUUAUUUAAAAGACGAGAAGACCCUAUAGAGUUUAAUAAUAUUACUAUUUUAUUAAUAUAUAUUUAAAAUUUAUAAUUUAUUANUAUUAUUUUGUUGGGGUGAUAGAAAAAUUUAAUUAACUUUUUUUUAAUUAUAUACAUUAAUUAAUGAAUAAUUGAUCCAUAAAUAAUGAUUAUAAGAUUAAAUUACCUUAGGGAUAACAGCGUAAUUUUUUUUUAAGAGUUCAAAUCGAAAAAAAAGAUUGCGACCUCGAUGUUGGAUUAAAGUAAAUUUUUGGUGUAGAAGCUAGAAAAUUAAGUCUGUUCGACUUUUAAAACUUUACAUGAUCUGAGU
rnacentral:rRNA from 1 species